AGACCCGAAACCCGGUGAUCUAGCCAUGGGCAGGUUGAAGGUUGGGUAACACUAACUGGAGGACCGAACCGACUAAUGUUGAAAAAUUAGCGGAUGACUUGUGGCUGGGGGUGAAAGGCCAAUCAAACCGGGAGAUAGCUGGUUCUCCCCGAAAGCUAUUUAGGUAGCGCCUCGUGAAUUCAUCUCCGGGGGUAGAGCACUGUUUCGGCAAGGGGGUCAUCCCGACUUACCAACCCGAUGCAAACUGCGAAUACCGGAGAAUGUUAUCACGGGAGACACACGGCGGGUGCUAACGUCCGUCGUGAAGAGGGAAACAACCCAGACCGCCAGCUAAGGUCCCAAAGUCAUGGUUAAGUGGGAAACGAUGUGGGAAGGCCCAGACAGCCAGGAUGUUGGCUUAGAAGCAGCCAUCAUUUAAAGAAAGCGUAAUAGCUCACUGGUCGAGUCGGCCUGCGCGGAAGAUGUAACGGGGCUAAACAAUGCACCGAAGCUGCGGCAGCGACACUGUGUGUUGUUGGGUAGGGGAGCGUUCUGUAAGCCUGUGAAGGUGUACUGUAAGGUAUGCUGGAGGUAUCAGAAGUGCGAAUG
rnacentral:rRNA from 1 species